CCAUAUUAGAAAUCGGUUUCUACUUGAAUCAAAUAGGAAUCAAUUAAAGACUUGCAUUGGAUAUAUCUAGCUAGCAUUGGAGAUGCCAUGGCUAUGAAGGCACAUACAUGUUUUGCCUAGUUAAGACGCUGAAACCGAGGAGAUUCGUUAAUUAUGAGGAGGGUCAUUUCAAGCACACCCAUCGUAGACAUAAUUUACAUGAUUAUGAAGCUGAAAGAAGUAUUGCAUCAUAUAAUUUGCUAGUUAAAGCAUGUCCAACGCAAUGAGACACAUUAGGUCGAGCCAAUUGGGCCCACUCCCUAAGGGUUGGCGUGUCCUGAGAACCACAUUCCUCCUUCGUCCCCCUGCCUCUUAGUUGAUCGUCUGGGUUUGUAGCAGAUAAAGGUCAACCAUAUGCGUCUUCCCACAAAGUAGAAGCUUUUAUAUUCGUGGCUUGGUUUAUCUGCACAUGAGAUUACAUGGGGGUUACAAUGAUCCUUUAAAUUAGUAUCUUGAUAAGGAUUGGUCUAACGAGGUAAAUGGCUCAUUAGGGUGAGCUUAAAUGUGCCCCCAUUAAUGGUUGAUGACAUGUACUGAUUAGAACAAGUGAAGUCAAUUUGGAGAGGGCUAAUUAUAUAUUAUUCAUGCGGCUAAUUAUAUAUUACUCUAGCUGUUUUUAGUGUUUUAGUCUCUAUACUUUAAAAAAUUAUAUUAAUAUCUUUAUAAUUACGAAAGUAAAAUAUCUAGGUUCAUUUAUUCAAAUAAUAACGUCAGUUUUAUUAAUAAAAAUAUGAAAACAAAAGAUAAAAAUAUAACUUUAACAUUCAGUGGUGGAUGAUGUCGAUGGUGGUGGACGACGGUACUACUG
rnacentral:lncRNA from 1 species